rnacentral:rRNA from 1 species
GAUGAACGCUAGCUACAGGCUUAACACAUGCAAGUCGAGGGACCGGCGCACGGGUGAGUAACACGUCUACAACCUGCCCUUUACUCGGGGAUAGCCUUUCGAAAGAAAGAUUAAUACCCGAUAUAAAGGAUGGGGAUGCGUUCGAUUAGGUUGUUGGUGAGGUAACGGCUACCCAAGCCUUCGAUGGAUAGGGGUUCUGAGAGGAAGGUCCCCCACAUGGGAACUACGACACGGUCCAAAAUCGUACGGGAGGAAGAAGUGAGGAAUAUUGGGCAAUGGGCGCUAGCCUGAACCUGCCAAGUAGCGUAAAGGAUGAAGGCGUAUGGGUCGUAAUCUUCUUUUAUAUAAGAAUAUGUAUUAUAUGAAUAAGGAUCGGCUAACUCCGUGCCAGCAGCCGCGGUAAUUC